UACAGAGGGUGCAAACGUUGUUCGGAAUUACUGGGCGUAAAGCGCGUGUAGGCGGCCCUGCAAGUCGGAUGUGAAAUCCCACGGCUCAACCUGGGAACUGCAUUCCAAACUGGAUAUCUAGAGUGCGGGAGAGGAAAGUGGAAUUCCUAGUGUAGCGGUGAAAUGCGUAGAGAUUAGGAAGAACACCAGUGGCGAAGGCGACUUUCUGGACCGUAACUGACGCUGAGGCAUGAAAGCGUGGGGAGCAAACAGG
rnacentral:rRNA from 1 species